GCCUUUUCUAUAUCCACAGUCCACAGAUCUCUCUUCCGAGCUUUGCGAAUUGUAAUUAUUUAUGGUGAUCGCGAAUUUAAUGCCAGGACACAUGUUCAAUUUUCUUUUACCCGUUCUAUUCUAUUUGCCUGAUUAAUGGCGUAUAUUAUCGCAUUGAUUUCAGUUUGCAGAGUUGAUUAGCGACAAUCUCUCCCAGCAGAUGGGCAAUUCCUUUGUCCUUUGGAUAAGGCUCUGGUUAUUCUCCAGACUCGAACCUGAACGGCGGCCUUGGGGCUAAAAGUCUUGCUAUGGCUAGGGCUGAGAGAUCAGAUCGAAGUACAAAGGACUUCUGUCAGUGAAGCUAAGCUAGAAUACCAUUUCUGAAACAGAGAGGAGUUGCGGAGCCUUCAACCCAAUGCGAGGGUUUUACAGUGAGUUCCUUUAUCACGCCUUUCCAUCUGGCUGGACAUCGUUCUUUCACUCCCAAAAGGUAUCUAACCCCAUCCUUUUCCAUUUAAAGAGCACUGCCAUGUGAGCUCUUCCUUUUUGGAUGACUUGCCACCUUAUGUGUAAGCUUUUUUUUUUUUUUUUUAUCAAUUUCACCUUAGGCCUAAAACUUAGUGGCAAAAAACUGAAAGGAGUUCUUUUUAAUUGCAUGAAAGUAAUCAACAAAUUCAAGGUAUUCAAGCAUUUACAAGGAAAUGGAACAAGAAGAAGAAAUAUUUACAAAAUUACUGAGCAUAUUGUCAUUAUUUGAGAGACAAAUUAGAUUGAGACAGAUACAGUAGUAGCAGUAGCUUUAGUAUUAGCAGUACAACUCUAACGUGAAUAGUCCUCUUUUUCUUUGAUAGGCGGGAAGGGUCCUAAUUUCUGGAUUUAGAAUGAUGGAACAAUGCCAUAUCCACCACCGCCAACACUGUUGUGGAAAACAUUUGGUCGACUUCAACUUCUACUUCUGUUCUCUUUGCAAAUCGGCCUUUGAUCCGGGGUCUGGUUUCUGCAUAGGCCUUCCUUGAGGCAUACCUGAUUGUCUUCUCAAACUUCCGUGUCUUCUUCUUCUCCCUAUAUCUUAGUACUCUAGCCUCCCUGUCCAUUGGAGUAAGUUGGGAAGCCAUCUGAAUCGGAGGACUCAAGAAAAGGUCAAUUGUUCCCUUGGGGGGUCUUGGAUGAGAAAUUGAGACGUCACUCACUGUGGAUUCUGGAACAAGGCCCACAUCCAGUGAUGAGACUGAGACCUGGUUUUACAAUCACAAAUACAGAAUUUUAUAUACAACAAAAGAGGAGAGCAUACUUCGAGGACACAAAUCUAUUGCAUUUUGGAACAAAUGCAUGACAAGAAAUACUAAUUCAUAAUGUGGGGGAACCUUUUAAAUAAAAAGGUUGUCAAUUAGACAUGUUUUGAUGUAGGUAAGGAAUAGAAGGAACUCUUAGUGGACGGGUCAAGGACUAUAACUGCCUUGUAAUUGCCUUAAAAUGCUUGUGGAAAAAGCUUGAAUUGAAUUAUCACUUAAGACGUGUCAAAAGGUGAAAGGGAAUAUAGACCCAAAAUAGUAAGGGAGAGGGGGAGAUGAAAGAAAAAAGAAAAACAGCUAGCCAGUAGAUUCGGCCUUUUUGAGGAGAAAGGAAAGACGAAUUGGAAAAAGAGUUGAUAAAGUGAAGAAACUAUCUGUAGAUGCCCCUCGAAUCCUAUCCUUUAGGAGUAGUUGAACAUAGAACGCAACUAUUAUAUGAUCCAUGUAUAGCACACAUUACCCAGAUUUAUUUUUUUAUUUUUAUUAAAAAAUAAAAGUCCAAAGAAACAAAAUACAGAGAAACACCAAAAAAAUAAAAUAAAAUCUGCGACAUACAUGAAAAGCUAUAUUUUAAGAAAAAAGUUGGCUUUUGAAGGCAAAUAGCUCCAAGUCAGAAGGUAACAGUAAAGUACACUUUCUGGCAAAUCUGGAUCUCGUAUUACUAAACAAAGCAACAAAAACGUCACUUAAAUCGGCAAGCUCUGUCUUUCUGCAUAGAGAGAAACAGGGACUAGAAACCAAUUCUCGAUUAAAUUUAAAAUUAAACAAGAAAGAAAAAGAAAAACUUGAGAGCUGGAUUUGAAGUAUCUGAGCAAAAUUAGUUCUUUGCACAUGGAAAACAGCAAGUGGAAUGUCAGGGACGACCAUCAGAGGGCAGAUUUUGAAGUUAGUUUGGUUAAAAGUAUUUCCAAUUGGUUGUUAGCAGUUCAGUGUUUUUGGUAAACUGAUGUAUUGGAAGCUCCUACCACAAAUUCAACAAAGACCCAUAAAACUACCUAGUAAUAAUAGCAUAUACAAUUGAAGUUUCAAUUAUCACUGAUGUGGUACUUGGAGAACUUACACUGUGACUAACUGAAGCAGGGUAACCAUAUCCAAUUUUUGAGGCCUCGUACUCCAUCCCGAGCUGAUAGCUAUGGGCCUGCUGCUGCUGCCACUGCUGCUGGAGCUGACACUUGGCCUCUCCAUUCUGAACUGAUCCAGGUACUCGUCAACCACCUCUCCACCGAACAGGAACCCAUUGUUGUGCUGGUUAGGAUUGGGCUUGACAGGAUUAAGCAACAGCCAUGAAGCUGCUUCAUCUUCGUCUUCUUUUUCAAUAGUCUCAUCGUUUUCCGGGGCCAG